rnacentral:rRNA from 1 species
UAAGGAAUAUUGGUCAAUGGACGAAAGUCUGAACCAGCCAUGCCGCGUGGAGGAUGAAGGUCCUCUGGAUUGUAAACUUCUUUUAUCUGAGAAGAAACCCAGGAUUUCUAUUCUGGCUGACGGUACCAGAUGAAUAAGCACCGGCUAACUCCGUGCCAGCAGCCGCGGUAAUACGGAGGGUGCAAGCGUUAUCCGGAUUCACUGGGUUUAAAGGGUGCGUAGGCGGAUUGCCAAGUCCGUGGUGAAAUCUCUGGGCUUAACCCAGAAACUGCCGUGGAUACUGGCAAUCUUGAAUAUCGUGGAGGUAAGCGGAAUAUGUCAUGUAGCGGUGAAAUGCUUAGAUAUGACAUAGAACACCGAUAGCGGAGGCAGCUUGCUACACGAUCAUUGACGCUGAGGCACGAAAGC